AAGUUAGCAAGCAUACAUUUUACCUCCUGAGGGACAAUAAAAUGUAUUUAGAAGCUUAUCCCAAUACUCAAGUGCAACUUCACCACUGAGAAACACCUCAUCCAGCUGUUUUAGUGCCAUUAAAUUAGCCCUCCAAGAAACACUAGAAUACAAACAAAAGACUUCACUAACAUGCCUAGGAGCUAAUACAACUGAAGAAUGUUGGACAACUUGGAUUAAUCUUCG
rnacentral:misc_RNA from 1 species